rnacentral:rRNA from 1 species
UAACGAAUCGCAUGGCCUUGCGCCGGCGAUGGUUCAUUCAAAUUUCUGCCCUAUCAACUUUCGAUGGUAAGGUCUUGGCCUACCAUGGUUUCAACGGGUAACGGGGAAUUAGGGUUCUAUCCCGGAGAGGGAGCCUGAGAAACGGCUACCACAUCCAAGGAAGGCAGCAGGCGCGCAAAUUACCCAAUCCCGAUACGGGGAGGUAGUGACAAUAAAUACUGAUACAGGGCUCUUUCGGGUCUCGUAAUUGGAAUGAGUACAAUCUAAAUCCCUUAACGAGGAACAAUUGGAGGGCAAGUCUGGUGCCAUCANCC